CUGAUUGUUAAAUCCUUAAAGAUAUAAGAUACAUCUUGCAAAUAAUUUUAGUAAGGGUAAAAUAGUAUUUUCAAUAGGAAAGGCUGUUGUGUAAAAUAGGCUCAAUAAUUCAGCCAAUAUAAAAACUACCCCGCCUUAUAGCAGCCUGGAGAGCCAGUGAGAGAUCAGAGAAGCAAGAAUUUAAAGAAGUUUCAUGAUAUUUAUGGGUUUUCUUCGAAUCCCCAAUUUCUUCAGGCAAAUGAGUUAAGAGGGAGACUCUAUGGGCCAGGUCCGUACAGUCCUUGAGGCAACCAGAGAAGCCGAGGCCGGAGAUCUUCACGAUGUGGUGAAUUAGCCGGAAAUGUAGCAUUGGUACCGCCGGCGAUCUCUUCAGUGUCCUUCAUCUCUUCACAGAUUCAAUAAAUCUGUUGCUUGAUCUAAUAUUCAUUUAGUGAAUAAUUUCCAGCUCUUCUCCAGAUCUGUCUGCCUCAUUUUUUUUUUGCAAUUCUCUUCGUUUUCUUCUGGAUUCUAUAAAAUCGUUGAGCUGACAAUUUCAACCAGAAUUCAGAAUUUAGUCCAUUUGCCACUGGACAUCAGGUUGAAGAAAUCUCGAUGCUCUUGCUGAUACAGAGCUGAAUGCACAAUUGAAUUCCUUGGAGGAUACAAGAGCAGGGAAUUCCUGAAGAUGAUCCUCGUAAUCCUGCUGUAAUUGCUGAUUUGUUUGGAAGUCUGGUUCAAUGAUCUGUGCAAUGAUAUUAGGUAGAAAAAUGGCAGAACACAGCAAACUCGAAGAUCUGUCUGGCUUCAUUUUGCUUCCCCCUAGUUGUUCACUCAUUUGAUCUGAUGAUAUCUUCUAUUGAAAUACUUUCUAUUUGGUUCACAUAUGACUCAGGAGUUCUUGGUGCUGUGGAAGAUCUAAACAUCUAUCAGAGAAAAUUAGAAGUUCUUGUAUGCACACAAGGUGCUUGAUGAAAUGUUCGACAAAGCUACUCUUCUGCAAAUACUUUAUGAGAGUCAUGAGUGUUGUGGCUCAAUUUCUUCGAUCCAAGAUCUGCCCUCUCCUCAGAGUCUAAUACGUGCAGUGGAGGUGGAGAUUCUAUAUCAUCUGAGAUACUGCCACUUAAUAUAUCUGAGAUCUCUCCAACUGAAAUGCGUGGAACACUUGGAUCUGUAAACCAGCCUUACCACUUGAAGGAUCUGGAGUAAUAACAUCUACUUGAACUUCAAUAUGUUGUUGUUGUUACAUGGUUGAUGAUUCACAACUCAUCUUCAAGAUGGAUCCAAGUCCAUCUUGAGGGGGUGUGUUGGAACCAAACAUUCAUCACUUCCAGUUAACUUCACGUGUGUAGUGUGCAUAACCAGAUUCCACCAAAAUAUUCCCUCCAGUUCAGCAUGCAGAUUCUAGAGACUUCUUCUUCCAUACGUAUUGCCUCCUUAGUUAGUUUUGCUCUAUAAAUAGAGCACUUGUAUGCAUUGUUAACUCAUUGGAGUAUAGUCUUACAAUCCUUCCUUAUGGAGGUUUCAUUUUCUCCUAUUAUGGAGUUUCCAUUCCUCCUUUUAUGGAGAGUUUAAUGUUCUCCUUUCAUGGAGUUUUCUUCCUCCAUAAAGGAGUUGAUUGUGCCUCCUUUCAUGGAGUGUAUUUGUUCUCCAUUAAUGGAGUUUAAUCAAUUGUUUCAGAUUCAAUAAAUUGUAACAAUUUUAAAGUUUGGGGUCCAUCUUAAUAAGGUCAACCUUAUUAAGUGGAGAAGUCCAAUCCUUUAUAAAUUGAAAUUUUUUCCAUCAUCAUUCGAUGUGGGAUAUAAUACCUUAACAGGCACCCUCAAGAUGGUGGCUCACUUGAUCACACCAAUCUUGAAAUUCAU
rnacentral:lncRNA from 1 species